rnacentral:rRNA from 1 species
GACGAACGCUGGCGGCGUGCUUAACACAUGCAAGUCGAACGGAGAUUCAGCAAUGGAUCUUAGUGGCGAACGGGUGAGUAACGCGUAGGCAAUCUGCCUUCUAGAUGGGGACAACAUCCCGAAAGGGGUGCUAAUACCGAAUGUUGUACCGUUUCCGCAUGGAGAUGAUACUAAAGGUGGCCUCUGAAUAUGCUACCGCUAGAAGAUGAGCCUGCGUCUGAUUAGCUAGUUGGAGGGGUAACGGCCCACCAAGGCUUCGAUCAGUAGCCGGUCUGAGAGGAUGAACGGCCACACAGGGACUGAGACACGGCCCAGACUCCUACGGGAGGCAGCAGUGGGGAAUCUUCCGCAAUGGACGAAAGUCUGACGGAGCAACGCCGCGUGAGUGAAGAAGGUUUUCGGAUCGUAAAGCUCUUUCGUUAGGGACGAACGUGCUCUUUGUGAAUAAUGAGGAGUAAUGACGGUACCUAAAUAAGAAGCCACGGCUAACUACGUGCCAGCAGCCGCGGUAA